rnacentral:rRNA from 1 species
GGCGAACGGGUGAGUAACGCGUGAGCAAUCUACCUUAAUUACAGGGAUAGCCCGAGGAAACUCGGAUUAAUACCUGAUAUUCUUUACAUUUCGCAUGAAAUCAAAAGGAAAGGUCAGCCGAACUAAGAUGAGCUCGCGUUCUAUCAGCUAGUUGGUGAGGUAAAAGCUCACCAAGGCAACGACGGAUAGCUGGUCUGAGAGGACGAUCAGCCACACUGGGACUGAGACACGGCCCAGACUCCUACGGGAGGCUGCAGCAGGGAAUAUUGCGCAAUGAGCGAAAG